AAUUUCUUUUAGUAGGUAAUCGAUUCGUAACGCACUAUCAGGUGAUAUUCUUUACAUGUUGAAGAAUGAUCUUGAAGUUUUUUUUACGUGCACUAUUCGCCAUAUACUUUGCAACACCAUGCGUGGCAGAGGGAGGCGGAUUUAAAGCUAUGGAAGAUGUUUUCAACAAAACAAUCGAAAAACCGAUGUCGAUGUUCAAACAAUAUAUGUUUGGUGCUUAAAUGAAACGAAAAUCAAGAAAGCGUCGACGAAAACAUUCAACAGUACUCGAUGAAAUAUUGUUUAAAGUUGUCCUGCAGUUAUUUCAAAAUUAAUAAAUAUUUUUAGUUGUUAUUA